UACGGGGGGGGCAAGCGUUGUUCGGAAUUACUGGGCGUAAAGGGCUCGUAGGCGGCUGUUCAAGUCGAACGUGAAAACUCUGGGCUUAACCCAGAGCCUGCAUUCAAUACUGACAGGCUAGAGUUCUGGAGGGGAUAGCGGAAUUCCUGGUGUAGCGGUGAAAUGCGUAGAUAUCAGGAGGAACACCGGUGGCGAAGGCGGCUAUCUGGACAGAGUCUGGACGCUGAGGCGCGAAAGCUAGGGGAGCAAACAGG
rnacentral:rRNA from 1 species